UCACCUUUGCUAGUCAAAGGCAAAGAAGAUAGGACUUAUACCUGCAAUUAAAGUGGGCACAGUUCUGCUUUAAUAUCUAUUAACUCUGGAGUAACAAAGCUAAGAGAAGAAUGACUAAAACAAGACUCACAGCAGGAUCAAUUUGGAGCUUGGCAUUCUCAUCUUCCAUUAGGGAUGUCUGCAUCAUGUACAGCAUCAACAUCGUGGCAAGGUGUCCUCUGUCCUAUAAACACACUUUUGCCUUUGGAGACUGUUUGCACUGAAGGGGAAAAAAGUCAUGAAAUUGAAGCCCUGGAGAAAAUAAUCUAUGCUCAAGAAACACAUUUUAGCCUUUCUGUCUGAACACGUUUAUUUUCUAUUCCAACUUCAUUCUUCAUCACUGUCACCCAUCCACUCGGCCAUUUGUAUUUGAGAAGUCAGGGGACAGGAGAACAUUUGCUCUUUGUGUUUCUGCCACUGUCAAGAGCUGUAGCAGAAACUAGAGAGCCAUAAUGUUACAGUUCCAGUGACUAUGUGUCUCUGAGAAUCUUAAUAAAAGCAAACUAAUUUUCAGUAAGGGACAACCUCACAACUGAUAAAUAUGUAAAUAGAGUAAAAUAUAUUGGGGAAAAAAUCCAGAGUAUGAAUAUGAUAUGAAGACAACUGCAGAAAUAAUCUUUCUGAUUUAUAAAUCUGAAAUAAAAAUAGAGUCUUUAAACAAGUUCUUAAGGAUGUCACCAGUAUAUGACACUAAGUUUAUGCCAAAGGGAAGGAAUUCUACAGUUCUUUUCUUCUAAAGAAAUAUGAUUCUGAUAUUACUGCAAGGUCUUUGUAGACUUCUGUUAGUAUAAUUUUUGGUACAUUAAAUUGUUACAGCUCUGUCUAAA